CACGCCGCGUGAGUGAUGAAGGUUUUCGGAUCGUAAAACUCUGUUGUUAGGGAAGAACAAGUGCCGGAGUAACUGCCGGUACCUUGACGGUACCUAACCAGAAAGCCACGGCUAACUACGUGCCAGCAGCCGCGGUAAUACGUAGGUGGCAAGCGUUGUCCGGAAUUAUUGGGCGUAAAGCGCGCGCAGGCGGUUCCUUAAGUCUGAUGUGAAAGCCCACGGCUCAACCGUGGAGGGUCAUUGGAAACUGGGGAACUUGAGUGCAGAAGAGGAGAGUGGAAUUCCACGUGUAGCGGUGAAAUGCGUAGAGAUGUGGAGGAACACCAGUGGCGAAGGCGACUCUCUGGUCUGUAACUGACGCUGAGGCGCGAAAGCGUGGGGAGCAAACAGGAUUAGAUACCCUGGUAGUCCACGCCGUAAACGAUGAGUGCUAAGUGUUAGAGGGUUUCCGCCCUUUAGUGCUGCAGCAAACGCAUUAAGCACUCCGCCUGGGGAGUACGGCCGCAAGGCUGAAACUUAAAGGAAUUUGACG
rnacentral:rRNA from 1 species